AACGUAACAAGGUUUCCGUAGGUGAACCUGCGGAAGGAUCAUUAAAGUAUUCUUCGGUGCAGCCAGCGCUUCCACAGCGCGGGAGCCCAAACCUUACACACUGUGAUUAGUUUUUUUACUAUUUGCUUUGGGUGCGCAAGUGGGCAAAGGUCUUAAACACAAAGAUUUAUAUCUUUUUUUACAAAAUUCAGUCAAUGAAGUUUUAAUACUAUAAUCUUCAAAACUUUCAACAACGGAUCUCUUGGUUCUCGCAACGAUGAAGAACGCAGCGAAAUGCGAUACGUAAUGUGAAUUGCAGGUUUUCGUGAAUCAUCGAAUCUUUGAACGCACAUUGCACCCUCUGGUAUUCCGGAGGGUAUGCCUGUUUGAGCGUCAUUUCUCUCUCAAACCCUUGGGUUUGGUAUUGAGUGAUACUCUCUUCUGGGUUAACUUGAAAUAGUGUACUGGGAAGAGUGUGCUUUUGUGGGCUCUUGACUGAGAUAAUGUAUUAGGUUCUACCAACUCGUUAUAGCAGUUCAAUUGUCCCUUUGGGAUAUCCAGCUCGGGCUGACAACCUUCUAAAGUUUGACCUCAAAUCAGGUAGGACUACCCGCUGAACUUAAGCAUAUCAAA
rnacentral:rRNA from 1 species